CUAUCACCUCCCGUCUCAUUGUGCGGUGGCAGCAACCAACGUACACACACUUGGGCUCCCGGCAGCGGCCUCGGUCUCGCUCCAGCCGUGCUGCCGCCUCUAAGAGGGUUGUCGCCUCAUCCCGCGGGUGUAGCAGGGGAAGGGCCAUGAACCUGGGAGAUGGAUUAAAGCUUGAAACUGAAAUUUUGGAUGGAAAACCUCGGCUAAUUUUGGCUUCAUAUGGUAAAUCAAAAUCCACAGUUAAGAUGGGCAAUAAAGCUAAAGUCCUCAAACAUCCAUUGAGAACAAAACAGUCUGGACAUGUUCUGAAAUCAACACAAAAUUCCUGUGUCAAGCAUGAACAUAUUUUAGCAAAACCCAGAAGUGGAUCAAGAUGGUCAGCAAUAAAAGGUGAAAAAAACUGUGUGACUUUGUCAUCAUCUAAAGAUUCAUCAAAGGAAUCCUUAAAUAAAAAACAUGCUUUGAUUAUCCAAAAAGACAACACAACUGGAAUGCCGGAUUUACAGAACCCUAAUACAAUUGCUGUUAAAAAGCCCAAACAGAAGUCUCAAAAACCUCAUAUCUCAGGUGAAGAUCUAAGGAACAAUUUGGUGUGUUUAACUCAAGAGCAACUUGAACAGAUUCUGAUGACUGUAAAACAAGGAACCAAAACUGAGUCCCAGGCCCAGGAGGAAAAGCAAGAAGAAACAAGCCAAAACAAAAAUUCCGAUAGGAGCACUGCUGCUAAUCAGGCCCCACAAGAGGAGAACAUUAUGGGAUUACUCCAAAAAGCUGAUGAAAUUUCAUCUGUUCCAAACGAAAAUAAUUAUGCCUCAAGCAGAAAAGAAGCAGCAUCUGAGCAGACUGAACAGAAAGUUAUUAAGAAUUCAUGGAAACCAGCUGACAUGUUUAGUACCCUAGGUGAAAGAGAGGAGGAUAAAAUUUUAUUAGAUGCAAAGAAGUCCCAGUGGAAGAAGGAACUAGAUGAACAGAUAGCUUUAAAGAAGAAAUUAAAAGAAACUUUGGAGCGACAGACGAAAUACUACCAUUGGGAGAAAACGGAUGGUGAUGGUGAUAAAACCCAUUUGGAAAAACUGAAGCCAGUUAAUCAAGCUAACAUGACAUUUCCAGCUGAUUUGAGCAUUGCUGCUGAGGAAAACCACAUUUUUAGAACCACUUUGAUCACAGAGGCUAGUGAAGUUGCACCCAGUGUUUCGAGUGGACCAACUGCUCAGUCGGCUAGUUUCAGUUCUCCUGACUUGCCAGCUGCCAUUCGUACAGCAUUUGUGUUAGGGGAAGCUACACCAGUGGAGCACCCCUUUAGUGCCAUGAAACGAGAACAACAGAAGAAGUGGCUUCUAGAUCUGGACAAACAAAAGGAAGAGGCUAAACUACGAAAAAUAGAGGAAAAACAUAAUUUAUCAAAGGCUGAGGAGCAUGAGAGAUGGGCAGUGCAUUUUGAUUCUUUAAAGAACUACCCUCGUGCUAAUCCACAACACCCCAUAAAUGGAACAUACAACAAGCAGCCUGAAAUUCUUUGCCUGUCCCCCGAAUCUCAGGCCCUGACUGCUGUUAUUCAUCCUUUUACACCUGCAGCUUUAGGCCAUCUCAUACAUUCAAAGGUGGAGAAUGUAGAAAAAACUGUUGAGAACACUACUUCGGAACAAAAUAAAAAAGCCAGUUUUCUCCGGUCAAUGACAGCUCUCUUGGAUCCUGCACAAAUUGAGGAAAGAGACAGGAGGCGGCAGAAACAGUUAGAACAUCAGAAAGCUAUAAUGGCUCAAGUAGAGGAAAAGCGAAGAAAGAAGCAGCUGGAGGAAGAGCAAAGAAAAUGGGAAGAACAAGAAGAAGAACACCGCUUAGCACGAGAACGAGAACUGAUGCAAAAACAGUUUGAAGAGGAUAUGCUCAAACAAAAACAAAAGGAAGAAAUCAUGACUCUUAAAACAAAUGAGCUCUAUCAGACAAUGCAGAGAGCACAAGAACAGGCUCAGAGAUUAAAACAGGAACAACGUAUUCGAGAGUUGGCUCAAAAAGGACAUGACAUUUCAAAACUGCAGAAGAAUCUUGAGGGUGGUGGUGGCGGCGGCGGUGAUAAAAUAUCUGAGAGUUAUUGUACUGGCCUUUCAAAUGUAAGUCAUGAUCAUUGUUCUGAUGAAGUGAGCAGUAAGAUGCAUCAAGAUGUAAAAACCGUAACCUCUCCUCGGAAAGAUACUGCUGUGCAGACAGAUGACUUUGACACCAGAGCAUACAUCCGAACUGAAACAUGUACUGAGCCAGUUGUAGAAAGAAGAACUGUGGACUGUACAUCUCCAAAUAUUUCCAUAGAAUAUAAAGAGAAAUUUAACAUCAAAAAAUGCAAGAAAGAAAUGCAGUAUCCAGAUAAAAAUAAAAUUUCCGAAAAAGAGAAUAAUGGCAGUUACACUGAUUUGUAUAACCAAUUUGCAAGAAAAGAGAAACAAACAAAACCUAUGGAAAAAUAUGGAAAGAGACCUGACUGGAACAUAAACAAACCUGGGAAAAGGUAUAUUCCAGCAUCAGAAAGAUACCCUAGACGGCUACAAAAGCAAAGGGAGGAAAAGAAAGUAAGACGACAGAUAGAGCUGCUUCAGUUGGUAGAAAGAAAUACUCCUGGCAAACUCUGCCAAAAGAAAGAAGUCUCUCCAGAAAGGUCUCCUUCACCUCACCAGGAAACUAAUACAAAGAGUAAGGGACAUGCAGUCACAAAGAAAGAACAAUCUCAGAAGAGUCAUUUGAAUGAAGAAAGAUCUGAAUCACCACCUGUUCCAGCAGUUAAAAACAGAUUAUACCAAGUACAACAAAGGCAGAUAAAUACUUCUAAUUUCCCAGUUCAGAAUGGCAAUAGUGGAAGAGAGAGAAAUAUCAACACAGACAUGCAACAGAGGAAAUCGUCUUCUCCAGUUAUUGAACCUGAACGGCCACCCUCUUCUCAUUUUAUUCCCUAUGUGCGAACAAAUGAAAUUUAUUACCUUGAUCCAGAUGCACCAAUGACUAGACCUUCAACACAUGAUCCACAAUAUCGACAGUUUAAUGAUUCUUGCCAUACACCACGGCAGAUUUUUAGUUCUGAUCAUGUGAGAGAUCCACUUCUUAAUCCUAAUGUGGUGAAAAACAGAGACCGACAACAGGCAAUCCUCAAAGGACUAUCAGAAUUACGCCAGGCACAAAGCUUUAUUCAGUGCACAGGAUGGACCUGUUGUAGGGAUCAACCAAAGUUGUGUACUACUGGAGAGACUUAUCUGCAGGACCCCAGCUUCCUUUGUUGCAGAAGUUUCAAGGUGUGUACUGAAUGAAAAAAGGCACUACAAGAAGAGAAAGUAUUGUGUUUAAGAGUAUGUCUACACUACCCGCCGGAUUGGCAGGUAGUGAUUGAUCUAUCAGGGAUUGAUACAUCACAUCUAGACGAGACCUGAUACAUCGAUCCCCAAACGCGCUGCCUAUCAACUCCGUAACUCCACCAGGGCAAGAGGUGGAAGCGGUGGCCGUCGAUCCUGCGCUACGAGGACUCGAAGAGGAGAAAGGCAUCUGCCGAAGGCUGAAGGCCACCUCCCCCAAACAGAACAGACAACACUUCCUAUUUGUGGAAGAGGCAAAGAAAGCCAAUUCCAGACAGCACCACAUUUGGAAUACAGCGUCUAGGAUCGGCGACCUAGCUAUCUUUCAGAGUCCUGGAAGAGGCCUCUGCUGAGAACAUGGGCCGUGAUGUUUUGUAUUCCAGGAAGGUGCACUGUUGAAAUGUGACUACAAAAGGGGUCAACGUAGACUUUGACAUUGAGCUGAAGGCCUAACUGCAGAAAUAGCGAUAGGGCCCUGUGGGUGGCUGACAGCACUUCCCCAUAAAAACCAACCCUUGACCAACCAGCUGUUUAGGUAUGAGAAUACCACACCUGCCACUAGACGAAGGUGAGCAGCCACCAUCACUAGAACCUGUUUGACAACUCUUAGAGUUGAGACUGAAAAGAAUCGAAUGGUAUCGAAAGUGCUUCUGGCCUUUCACAAAAUGUAAGUAUGUUCUGAGAGCCUGGUGUACCACAGUUUGGAAAUGUGCGUUUUGUAGGCUGAGGGCUGAAAACCAGUCCCCUGAAUCUAAGCAUCAUCACUGCCAGAGUCACCAGUCUGAAUUUUUGGGACUUCACAAAUUUGUUUAGGAAUCUUAGAUCUAAAAUACCAGUCUCCAUCCUCCAUUUCUCUUUGGUAUGAGUAAUUAACUCACAUAGAAACCGUUCCUCAUGUAGAGCCAGGACAGACAACUGCUCCUAGCAAAGGAGGGAUUUUAUCUCCUUUCUUAGUAGGAGCUCAUGAAAGGGGUCCCUGAAAAGGAAUGGGAGAUGUGAAAUGGAUGGCACAGCCCAACGUAACCAUCUCCAAA